GAUGAACGCUGGCGGCGUGCCUAAUACAUGCAAGUCGAGCGAACAGACGAGGAGCUUGCUCCUCUGACGUUAGCGGCGGACGGGUGAGUAACACGUGGAUAACCUACCUAUAAGACUGGGAUAACUUCGGGAAACCGGAGCUAAUACCGGAUAAUAUAUUGAACCGCAUGGUUCAAUAGUGAAAGACGGUUUUGCUGUCACUUAUAGAUGGAUCCGCGCCGCAUUAGCUAGUUGGUAAGGUAACGGCUUACCAAGGCGACGAUGCGUAGCCGACCUGAGAGGGUGAUCGGCCACACUGGAACUGAGACACGGUCCAGACUCCUACGGGAGGCAGCAGUAGGGAAUCUUCCGCAAUGGGCGAAAGCCUGACGGAGCAACGCCGCGUGAGUGAUGAAGGUCUUCGGAUCGUAAAACUCUGUUUUUAGGGAAGAACAAAUGUGUAAGUAACUAUGCACGUCUUGACGGUACCUAAUCAGAAAGCCACGGCUAACUACGUG
rnacentral:rRNA from 1 species